GGAGAGGUGGGUGAGUGGCCGAAACCAGCGGUUUGCUAAACCGCCGUAGGGUGUAAAGCUCUACCGAGAGUUCGAAUCUCUCCCUCUCCG
rnacentral:tRNA from 1 species